GGACUACACGGGUAUCUAAUCCCGUUCGCUCCCCUGGCUUUCGCGCCUCAGCGUCAGUAGAGGUCCAGCGGCCCGCUUUCGCCACCGGCGUUCCUUCCGAUAUCUACGCAUUUCACCGCUCCACCGGAAGUUCCGGCCGCCCCUACCUCCCUCGAGCACCCCAGUAUCCAAGGCCCUUUUCCGGUUGAGCCGAAAGCUUUCACCCCGGACUUGGUGUGCCGCCUACGCGCCCUUUAAGCCCAGUGAUUCCGAACAACGUUCGCACGGUUCGUCUUACCGCGGCUGCUGGCAC
rnacentral:rRNA from 2 species